CAGAGUUGCAAAACUCCCACAAACCAUCGCGAAUCUUACCCGUACGGUUGCCUCGGCGCUGGCGGUCCGGAAGGCCCUCGGGCCCCCCGGAUCCUCGGGUCUCCCGCUCGCGGGAGGCUGCCCGCCGGAGUGCCGAAACCAAACUCUUGAUAUUUUGUGUCUCUCUGAGUAAACUUUUAAAUAAGUCA
rnacentral:misc_RNA from 1 species